rnacentral:rRNA from 1 species
UACGUAGGGGGCAAACGUUGUCCGGAUUUAUUGGGCGUAAAGAGCGUGUAGGCGGCCAGGUAGGUCGGCUGUGAAAACUGGAAGCUCAACCUCCAGCCGUCGGCCGAAACCAUCUGGCUAGAGUCCGGGAGAGGAGAGUGGAAUUCCUGGUGUAGCGGUGAAAUGCGCAGAUAUCAGGAAGAACACCCGUGGCGAAAGCGGCUCUCUGGAACGGUACUGACGCUGAGACGCGAAAGCGUGGGGAGCGAACAGG